GUUUCCAGCAUCGUUACUUUGAAGAAAUUAGAGUGCUCAAAGGAAGCCAUCGCUUUGGAUACAUUAGCAUGGGAUAACAUUAUAGGAUUUUAGUCUCAUUGUGUUGGCCUUCAGGAUCUGAGUAAUGAUUAAUAAGGACAGUCGGGGCAUUUGUAUUUCAUAGUCAGAGGUGAAACCCUUGGUGAGGGAAUCCUGGAUUAGGGGGUAUCCGGACAGCCGGACUAUAUCCUUU
rnacentral:ncRNA from 1 species